rnacentral:tRNA from 1 species
UAUAUUUUGGUGUUUAUGCAUUUAAAUUUUUGAAAUUUAAGGAUUUAAUUUAAAUUAAAAAAUAUAA